GGGGCUGACUGGUUUCGACAUCAGAUCUGUUGGGCGGGUUUGCGACCCGAGUUGCUCAGACUCGCUAAACGGGGCACCAACAAGAAUUGCCGAUGAGCAGUUCACUCUCGCCGCCUGAUUUUCAGGUGAGUGAAGAGUCAUCGUGAACAGAAAUGUCGCACGGGGCCAAUCCAUCACAGCCCGGCAACAGAAGUGAGGGAUGACGGCGGGAAAGACCGCUGACGGCGAGAAAGACCGCUGACACCCGGGAAAGCCCGGGCGCUGAUCGCAAGAUCGGCUGACCCGCCAGUGCACCGGCGUCAGGUGCAAUGCGGGAAUGGUCGUAUCGAGUCCGUUCACGGGCUGGUGGACGGGGGUUCGAUUCCCCCCAGCUCCACGA
rnacentral:tmRNA from 1 species